AACGAACGCUGGCGGCAUGCCUAACACAUGCAAGUCGAACGAGACCUUCGGGUCUAGUGGCGCACGGGUGCGUAACGCGUGGGAAUCUGCCCUUGGGUUCGGAAUAACUCUUGGAAACGGCUGCUAAUACCGGAUGAUGUCGUAAGUCCAAAGAUUUAUCGCCCAAGGAUGAGCCCGCGUAGGAUUAGCUAGUUGGUGAGGUAAAGGCUUACCAAGGCGACGAUCCUUAGCUGGUCUGAGAGGAUGAUCAGCCACACUGGGACUGAGACACGGCCCAGACUCCUACGGGAGGCAGCAGUGGGGAAUAUUGGACAAUGGGCGAAAGCCUGAUCCAGCAAUGCCGCGUGAGUGAUGAAGGCCUUAGGGUUGUAAAGCUCUUUUACCCGGGAUGAUAAUGACAGUACCGGGAGAAUAAGCUCCGGCUAACUCCGUG
rnacentral:rRNA from 1 species